rnacentral:rRNA from 1 species
UUCAGCGGCGGACGGGUGAGUAAUGCCUAGGAAUCUGCCCGAUAGUGGGGGACAACGUUUCGAAAGGAACGCUAAUACCGCAUACGUCCUACGGGAGAAAGCAGGGGACCUUCGGGCCUUGCGCUAUCGGAUGAGCCUAGGUCGGAUUAGCUAGUUGGUGGGGUAAUGGCUCACCAAGGCGACGAUCCGUAACUGGUCUGAGAGGAUGAUCAGUCACACUGGAACUGAGACACGGUCCAGACUCCUACGGGAGGCAGCAGUGGGGAAUAUUGGACAAUGGGCGAAAGCCUGAUCCAGCCAUGCCGCGUGUGUGAAGAAGGUCUUCGGAUUGUAAAGCACUUUAAGUUGGGAGGAAGGGCUGUCGGCUAAUACCCUGCAGUUUUGACGUUACCAACAGAAUAAGCACCGGCUAACUUCGUGCCAGCAGCCGCGGUAAUACGAAGGGUGCAAGCGUUAAUCGGAAUUACUGGGCGUAAAGCGCGCGUAGGUGGUUCAGUAAGUUGGAAGUGAAAUCCCCGGGCUCAACCUGGGAACUGCUUUCAAAACUGCUGAGCUAGAGUACGGUAGAGGGUGGUGGAAUUUCCUGUGUAGCGGUGAAAUGCGUAGAUAUAGGAAGGAACACCAGUGGCGAAGGCGACCACCUGGACUGAUACUGACACUGAGGUGCGAAAGCGUGGGGAGCAAACAGGAUUAGAUACCCUGGUAGUCCACGCCGUAAACGAUGUCAACUAGCCGUUGGAAUCCUUGAGAUUUUAGUGGCGCAGCUAACGCAUUAAGUUGACCGCCUGGGGAGUACGGCCGCAAGGUUAAAACUCAAAUGAAUUGACGGGGGCCCGCACAAGCGGUGGAGCAUGUGG